UUGAGGGCCGUCUGGCUGUGACAUGUCACCUCAUUUAUCACCAGGGUUGUUUCUGCUGAUCUGACUAGAUGGUGUCCCUUCCUCCUUCACUACUCUAUGUGUGUCUUGCCUGAAGCUGCAAACUGAGGAUGAUCUUCCCCAGUAGAGGAAGCCCGUUCUCUGGUCAAGAAUUUAGAGUAGCUGUGCUUCCCUGCUAGAACCUCCAAACAGGCUCUGAAAUGAUCACUUGCUGAUAUCUUCCUC
rnacentral:sRNA from 1 species